ACAUGAUAUUGUAAAUCAACUAUACUUCAAUUUAAAAAAAGGAAAACAUUAAAAUAUAGUUGUUUCUCAUGCUUUUCUCUAUAUAAUUAGUGAAGAUAUAUUCAUUGGCCGAAGCCUUCGCAGCACUGUCAAGCUCUUGAAUUAUCAAUGUCUCCUCCGUCACAGGCUGUGGGCUUUCUCUCCUGGGCUCCUUCAUGUCCCAAUUCAGAAUCCAACCUUGGCCCAGCCUGUUGGCGGAUGACCCUGGUGGCUGCUGAGAAGAGCUUCACAACCUACCUUAAGAGUUUCCCAAGUUUUUGGUAACUCUCAAGCACAGCUGGUUAGAGAAUAAAUUGUCGUGACCUUUCCAAAAAACCAAUUUUAUUAUGGCAUCAGAAGCCACCAAUUCCACUUUCAUAAGUUUAUUUUAGGAAAAUAAUCAGCAGCUAGGUAGGAAGAUUUAUGUCAGGGAUACUCAUUAUAGGAUUUUUUUUUUAAUAGUGGAAAACAGAAAAAAACAAAACCAAACAGGGAGUACUUAAGUAACUUAGCUGCUGGUGCAGCCACAUAACGGGUGACUUCCAGCCAGCAGAGAUCACUUCAAAACAUGAAAAAAGAAUCUACCAGAACACUAAGCUAAGUUGUGGGAUAGUAUGAUCUAAAUUUUGCAAAAGAAAGACUCAUUUUUAUAUGUAAGUUUAAAAAACUAGAAUAUCUUUAAUUUUCUUUAUGCGUUUGGGUAAAAACAAAGUUUUCACUUCUACAAGGAGCAAAUUACCUCUAUAAUAAAAAAUAAUCAGUAGAUAUGAUUUUUAAAACUUGUCUAAGACAAGGGAACAUUUAUUCCUAAGGAUGGAAAGUACUCCAUUCUCUUACAGAAUCUAAAUCUAAACCUUAAGGUAUAGCAUCACCUCAUGUCUAGUUAGGAACUUACCCAUAUCUGCUUAUUGCGUCAUUUGAGAAGGAAAGGUUCGAGGAAAACAGAGCAGGGGGCCGGGGAGUGAAGAGGAUCUGUAGGUUCACACGAAGGUAUAAGGGAGAUUUAGACUCUGGGGACAAAAACCUGGUGGAACCUCACACCUUGGAGAGCGUCCGAGCGGAUGCCUCUCGGUGGUCCCAGGGCUCCCCGCCAGGGAAAGCAGUUCCUAGCAGCCUGGACUGCCUGCUUCCUGAGAGGGCGGGCAAAUCCCGUGACAAUCGGAGCCCUGGGGAGACAGAGCCUCCUGCUUGCCACAGUGUUUCUCCCUUCACGCUUUGAAAGCAAAUUACGCUUUGCACUUUUCCGUAUGCAUUUAUAAAGUUAUUCAGUCCUGUUUGUCUUUUAUGGUGAGGUGAGCGACCCUUCCUUCAUGGUUUAAUAAAACAUCCGAAGUCUUCGUGACACCACAGCAAAGCACGGCAAGGAGGGGAGACGGCAGCAGCAUUUCAAUGAGGGAAGAAAUGAGAAAUGAGUCCCCAAAGGACACUUAAUAAGGAACAGCAAACCUGUCUUUUCAAAAAUGCUUCUGGAAAUGAGCUUGGCUGUUUUUUCCGGCUGGAUGGUUGGCAAAGGGACAGCAGCUGCCAGAGGCAGCAGGAGAGAGCGCUGGGGAGCUGGGACACGCAGAUCCAUGCAAGGGACCGGCCUUAUUACCCCGGCCUUGGGGAUGGUCAGACGUUUAUCGGGACACCUCCAGGCUGAGCUGGCGGAUCAGCACCCUCGGAUUCCUGGUUGCAGAAGAGCCUUGACUGGACACGUGGGCACCUGACUAGGGACUCAGUCUCCCAGCCUCCUUUGCAGCCGGCGUGAUCAUGUGACUCAUCCCCCAGCCUCCUUUGCAGCUGGCGUGAUCAUGUGACUGGGCUCUGGACCAGGGAAGACCAGGAAAGACCAGGGGAGCGUGGAUGUGCCUGCACACUUUCGCCUCCCGAGGAGCCAGGACACAGACCUGGCUGCGGCCUGCACUGACCACAGAGAUGAGGACGAUGCCCCAGGGACAGUGCACCCUGAGAUGGGUGGAGCCUGAGUCCCGAACAACCCGUCUCUUCAGAUCUGAAGCUGUAAGGAGAGCUCCGUGGACUCGACCACGUGCCCUGACCUCAGGAAAGUCACCUCCCCCAUCAGAAGCUCCCAGAGGUAAAGGGGGCCCUGGGUGUCGAGGCCGGGCGUACGGGACAAGCAGCAGGUCCCCUCUAGGCAGCUGCCCUCCUGGGACCCCAAUCCUGCCUGGGCUGGAGGACCACGGUCCCGGGGAGGUGGCCCCGACGGCAGCGGUCAGACCCCUGCGGCCCUGAGUGAGGUAGAGGAACACAGAGGUCAGUGGGAGUGGGUCGUUGCGUCCCCACCGCAGGUCCCGGGACGGGGUGAAGCGGCAGCCUCAGCGCGUCGAGAGGAACAUGUAGACAGAGCCCCCGACCGCUUCUGGGGCUGAAAGCAAGUCGCUGCAAGUACUUGCUGAAAAGAUGGAGUGUGGUUCCUGCUCACGGGGACAGACAGAAUGAGGACAAAGGGGUCCCGGGAACCAGAGGCGAGAGAGAGGGAAGGGGCAGGGGCUGUCACGGCAGGCAGGGAGGUGACAGGCUUCAGGGUGAGGGUCCAGUGGGCCGGUCCAGGGAGGAGGGUUGAGGAUGUGCGCUGGGGUGGGCUUGUCAUUUCAGCUGAGCUGCCCCCGAACAUUCUCUGGGCUUCGAGCCACCAAGGCCUCCCACGUGUCACACGGGGGCAGCUGAAAAGCCCAGGGGCUCCUCUGCUUCCCGCGUGAUUUUGGUUUAUAGAACGGACGAGUCGGCCUCGUGCAAAACGCACAUCUGAGCCCCGUGAAGAACCUGGCACGUUUCCACAACGUACGCCGCACACGCAGACGCCUCUGGAGAACGCUGGCGCCAGCACACGGACUGAUGACCCAGCGGCGAACCACCUGGGUUUCUCGCGUCAGAACACGGCACCACGGCUGUCUGCGAGGCAGAUCUUGAGAGCUCUUUACACAGAGCUUUCCUCCUGCCCCGCAGCCAACCUCCCUCCCUGCUCCCCUCGCCUCCCUAACGCUGGGACUCCUUCAUCGCCCCCCCCCGUUUCCCCUUUUGUCGUGACGGCCGUCCAGUUUCCAUCAGACCCGCAGGGAGAAGAACAAU